rfam:Leuconostoc sp. DORA_2 Q611_LSC00371, whole genome shotgun sequence.
GGUAUUGUUUACCUCACGAUAAGCCCCGGAAACUUAUUGUAAUUGCGUAGCAAGGAACGGCUACGCCUGUAAACAACUA